UACGUAGGGGGCAAGCGUUGUCCGGAAUCAUUUGGGCGUAAAGAGCGUGUAGGCGGCCCGAUAAGUCCGCCGUGAAAGUCCAGGGCUCAACCCUGGAAUGCCGGUGGAAACUGUCGGGCUGGAGUCCGGAAGAGGCGAGUGGAAUUCCUGGUGUAGCGGUGGAAUGCGCAGAUAUCAGGAGGAACACCGAUGGCGAAGGCAGCUCGCUGGGACGGUACUGACGCUGAGGCGCGAAAGCCAGGGGGAGCGAACGGG
rnacentral:rRNA from 1 species